rnacentral:rRNA from 1 species
AGUGAACGCUGGCGGUAGGCCUAACACAUGCAGGUCGAACGGCAGCACAGUAAGAGCUUGCUCUUACGGGUAGCGAGUGGCGGACGGGUGAGGAAUACAUCGGAAUCUACUUUUUCGUGGGGGAUAACGUAGGGAAACUUACGCUAAUACCGCAUACGACCUACGGGUGAAAGCAGGGGAUCUUCGGACCUUGCGCGAUUGAAUGAGCCGAUGUCGGAUUAGCUAGUUGGCGGGGUAAAGGCCCACCAAGGCGACGAUCCGUAGCUGGUCUGAGAGGAUGAUCAGCCACACUGGAACUGAGACACGGUCCAGACUCCUACGGGAGGCAGCAGUGGGGAAUAUUGGACAAUGGGCGCAAGCCUGAUCCAGCCAUACCGCGUGGGUGAAGAAGGCCUUCGGGUUGUAAAGCCCUUUUGUUGGGAAAGAAAAGCAGCAGGUUAAUACCCCGCUGCUCUGACGGUACCCAAAGAAUAAGCACCGGCUAACUUCGUG